UGAGCCUCUUAGUAACUGGCAUUGCCUCUUUGCCUAUGCUUACAUCAUCCUUAUUUUCAGGCAUCUGCAAGGAUUCGGAAAUGCUCUGGAGUUAUAAAUAAUACACUGGUAGCAGAGUUGGGAUGGAUUGUUAACAGAUGAACUUUGAAAAAAAAAUUGCUGUGCUUCCUCUAGAGAUCAGGAUGUCUUGGACAUUUCUGUUUUGGUUAUUUAUCUGGCUAUAACAAAGAGACAGAUGUGAGGAUUCUCUUUAGAAAUGGAUGAGUUGAGGAUAACUGCAGAUUUUAGUCAAUAGGGAAAAGUUGCUGUAAGGGUCCCCUGAAGAGUGAGAGAGGAUAUACUAUUGAAAAAAGUUCUUUCAAAUACAUCCUGACUUAAAAAAAAGGGUCAUCUAUUGCCAUGACUACUUAUCACAGCCGUUUAGCGUACUGCUAAUUGCAAUGACAGGUUCCUGGCUUCAUCUGUUACCUUCAAUAGAGGAAUGAACUAAAAAAGACGAACCAAGGAGGACAAUUGACAGUGUGUCUGCAAUUGAUUUACAUGCUCCUACGUAAAUAUGUAGAUAAGGGAAGAUCAGAGGAUUUUGCCUUGCACUGGAAGCAGAAGAUACAAAGGUCUGCCAAAGGCUCAUUAAUCCACAACUGAUCCUGAGGUUUCCAACUUAUCCUCUGUUGCUCUGUCAUAUGAAGCCUUACACAGGGCACUUGGACUGCAGAAGGAGUAUGCCCUGGAUGCCAGCCAAAUGAAAGAAGACAGCUGAGGGGAAUUCCAGCUGUUACAGGGAAUGAUGCUGCAGAAGGACUGCUUAUUUUGGAGCAUUUCUAUUCCAGUGGUGCAAUGGCGAGUAAAUCAACAGGUUUCAACAAUCUGUAUUUGUUAGUCUAGCCCAGCCGUGACAGGUAACAAGACCUUUUUAGAAGGCUGAAUGGAAUGGCAAUUUGGCAUAAUAUGGAUGACUCUCCUAAAGUUGUUUCUUUUUCUCUUCUUACUCCAUUGGGAAAUG